rnacentral:lncRNA from 1 species
CUGAACUUGUGAGUCAGAAUGCAAGCUUUGAACAUCCAUGCCUGCCUGCCUGCCACCUCGCUUCCUGCCAUGAUGGUCGUGGAUCAGCACCUGAAACAGUCCAUUUUUCAAAUUUUUAAAAACAUAUCACUGAGAGGCAUUUUUCUUCGAUGUGGUGAUGUGACCUUUUAAGAGGAUGUAGCUGGAGAGUGUUUUUUUUAACACUUCUUUCCUGAGUCUGUUAGCAAGUGACUGAGUCAAACUUUCAGGUGCAGAUUUUUUCCCCAUAGAAUGUAUAAUGCAAAGCAGAGUGACUCCUAAAGUAAGCUGUAGUGGAUCCACUCAAUUUGGUGUCCUUGUGCUGGAUAAUUUUAUGUCAACUGGACACAAGCGACAAUCAUCUAAGAGGAGGAAACCUCAGUUAAGAAAAUGCCUUCAUAAGACUGGCUUGUGGGCAAAUAUGUAAGGCGUCUUUUCAAUUAGUGAUUGAUGGAAGAAGGCUCAGCCCAUAGUGGGUGGUUUCAUGCCUGGGCUGGUGGCCUUGAGUUCUAUAAGAAAGUGGGCUGAGCAAGCCAUCAGGAGCAAGACAGUAGGCAUCACCCAUCCAUCGUCUCUGCAUCAGCUCCUCUCUCAAGCUGCUGGUCUUGUUUGAGUCCCUGUCUUGAUUCUCUUCAAUAAUAGGCUGCAAUGUGGAAGUGUGAGUCAAAUAAACCCUUUCCUUCCCAACUUG